AGCGAACGCUGGCGGCAGGCUUAACACAUGCGAGUCGAGCGGGCACUUUCGGGUGUCCGCGGCGGACGGGUGCGUAACGCGUGGGAACGUGCCCUCUGGUUCGGAAUAACUCAGGGAAACUUGAGCUAAUACCGGAUACGCCCUUUUGGGGAAAGGCUUGCUGCCGGAGGAUCGGCCCGCGUCUGAUUAGCUAGUUGGUGAGGUAACGGCUCACCAAGGCGACGAUCAGUAGCUGGUCUGAGAGGAUGAUCAGCCACACUGGGACUGAAACACGGCCCAGACUCCUACGGGAGGCAGCAGUGGGGAAUAUUGGACAAUGGGCGCAAGCCUGAUCCAGCCAUGCCGCGUGAGUGAUGAAGGCCUUAGGGUUGUAAAGCUCUUUUAUCCGGGACGAUAAUGACGGUACCGGAGGAAUAAGCCCCGGCUAACUUCGUG
rnacentral:rRNA from 1 species